AACGACUCUCGGCAACGGAUAUCUCGGCUCUCGCAUCGAUGAAGAACGUAGCGAAAUGCGAUACUUGGUGUGAAUUGCAGAAUCCCGUGAACCAUCGAGUCUUUGAACGCAAGUUGCGCCCGAAGCCAUUAGGCCGAGGGCACGUCUGCCUGGGCGUCACGCAUCGCGUCGCCCCCCAACCCAUCACUCCCUCGCGGGAGUCGAGGCAGA
rnacentral:rRNA from 1 species